GGGGGUUUGGCCGAAGGGCUUCUAUUCUUUAGCUGGUAAUCAAAAUGAAGCUGAAAUGAAAUGGAGGUUUCUUAUGAAAAUAGCCUUUGUUGACUGGAAGGCUGGUAAUUCAUAAACAAUACGUAAGGCUUUUGUGAACAUAAUAACAUAUUCAUGCUCUCAGAGAAAAGGAAGGAACAGGAGAGAGAGAGAGAAAGAGAGGCAGUGUGGCAGUGAAUAAAGGGCUACAGAGAUUUGGCUUAUGCGCGUCUCAACUACUGGCAGAGCAAUAACUGAUGUUACUCUGUGUCACCUCUCUCUUGUUCUGUCUCACAUUGUCAUUUUCUCUCUUUCAUAGUCUCUCUCUCUCUCUUUCAAUACCUUGCUUGUCACUGGCUUUUGGCAUUUGACAUGAAUACCAGAGACUGGAGGUAGUGGGCAGAACAGGCAGCAGUUGCUUCAGAUGAACUCUGUAUUACCUGCAGAGGAGCUCAGUGCCGGAUUGGAGGCAGCGUGGAGCAUCAGCAGGUUCAAAUGAACGUGGUCUUCAUAAAAAGAUCUAAACAUGCAUUGGAUUUAUUUGCUGGAAUGAAGGUGAAUUUCUGUGGGAUAACGUUCCAGACAGGACACUCUACUUGUCAGAUCACCUGGGAAGGAAAGAUGAGAAGGUUUCUUCUGUUUUAUCAGUGGAUUGGCGUUUGUCAGGACUCAGGAAGUUGUAGGGAUGAGUGCCUGAGGAAAACAGAAUAGACAGUGGGAGAGAGACUGAAAAAGGCCAGGGAGGAGGGAAUGAAAGAGAAG
ensembl:lncRNA